rnacentral:rRNA from 1 species
AUUGAACGCUGGCGGCAUGCCUUACACAUGCAAGUCGAACGGCAGCACGGGUGCUUGCACCUGGUGGCGAGUGGCGAACGGGUGAGUAAUACAUCGGAACAUGUCCUGUAGUGGGGGAUAGCCCGGCGAAAGCCGGAUUAAUACCGCAUACGAUCCACGGAUGAAAGCGGGGGACCUUCGGGCCUCGCGCUAUAGGGUUGGCCGAUGGCUGAUUAGCUAGUUGGUGGGGUAAAGGCCUACCAAGGCGACGAUCAGUAGCUGGUCUGAGAGGACGACCAGCCACACUGGGACUGAGACACGGCCCAGACUCCUACGGGAGGCAGCAGUGGGGAAUUUUGGACAAUGGGCGAAAGCCUGAUCCAGCAAUGCCGCGUGUGUGAAGAAGGCCUUCGGGUUGUAAAGCACUUUUGUCCGGAAAGAAAUCCUUGGCUCUAAUACAGUCGGGGGAUGACGGUACCGGAAGAAUAAGCACCGGCUAACCACGUG